CUCUCUGGCGUCCUCAUUGUACAUGCUGUGUGUAUCCGUCACGUACACAGCGCAUGCAAUGUGGACACGAUGGAG
rnacentral:pre_miRNA from 1 species